rnacentral:misc_RNA from 1 species
GAUGAAGAACGUAGCGAAAUGCGAUAAGUAAUGUGAAUUGCAGAAUUUAGUGAAUCAUCGAGUCUUUGAACGCACAUUGCGCCCCCUGGUAUUCCGGGGGGCAUGCCUGUCCGAGCGUCAUUGCUGCCCUCAAGCACGGCUUGUGUGUUGGGCCCCGUCCUCCGAUCCCGGGGGACGGGCCCGAAAGGCAGCGGCGGCACCGCGUCCGGUCCUCGAGCGUAUGGGGCUUUGUCACCCGCUCUGUAGGCCCGGCCGGCGCUUGCCGAUCAACCCAAAUUUUUAUCCAGGUUGACCUCGGAUCAGGUAGGGAUACCCGCUGAACUUAAGCAUAUCAAUAAGCGGAGGA